UACGUAGGGUCCGAGCGUUGUCCGGAAUUACUGGGCGUAAAGAGCUCGUAGGUGGUUUUGUCGCGUUGUUCGUGAAAACUCACAGCUUAACUGUGGGCGUGCGGGCGAUACGGGCAGACUUGAGUACUGCAGGGGAGACUGGAAUUCCUGGUGUAGCGGUGGAAUGCGCAGAUAUCAGGAGGAACACCGGUGGCGAAGGCAGGUCUCUGGGCAUUAACUGACGCUGAGGAGCGAAAGCAUGGGGAGCGAACAGG
rnacentral:rRNA from 1 species